rnacentral:rRNA from 1 species
UACGAAGGGGGCUAGCGUUGCUCGGAAUUACUGGGCGUAAAGCGCACGUAGGCGGCUUGUUAAGUCGGGGGUGAAAUCCUGGAGCUCAACUCCAGAACUGCCUUCGAUACUGGCGAUCUCGAGUCCGGGAGAGGUGAGUGGAACUGCGAGUGUAGAGGUGAAAUUCGUAGAUAUUCGCAAGAACACCAGUGGCGAAGGCGGCUCACUGGCCCGGUACUGACGCUGAGGUGCGAAAGCGUGGGGAGCAAACAGG